rnacentral:misc_RNA from 1 species
CGCCGCUCGGUCCGCGCCGUAAAAGGCGGGGACCGGUGUUGGGGCUCGCGGGGGGCGUCUUCGCUCCCGGCGGCUCUUAAAUUUAGUGGCGGCUCCUCACGGAACCCUCAGCGCAGUAACUAUUCCUGACGCUCCGGAGUCCGGGAGGCGGCCUGCCGUAAAACCCCCAAUUUAUCACCC